GCACCAAAAACAAGCACAUAUACGAAAAUUGGAAUGAUACAGAGAAGAUUAGCAUGGCCCCUGCACAGUUUUAAACUUUAAUAAGCUUUUGGAACACUUCACAUAUUU